UGUAAUUCAGUAAAAAAUAUCCGUAAAGACUUGACAUUUGGACAAGAAAUUUAUAUUUGCUCUUUUUAGACGUAGUCGAAUUUUCAAAAUAUUUAAGCCAUUUUUAUGCUAUUAAAAACGGAAUAUAUAUGAAAUGUAGGUGUUAAUAAAAAAAUAUUAUGGUCUUUUUUUCUGUGUACAACUUUUCUACCAGCAAUUUGCUCAGAUUUAAAAUGAUAGCACUUUUUCUGAAAGAAAAUCUGACUGGGAAGGUCGGUACUAGGAAGACAGGUACUUUUGAGUGGUCAUUUUUCGAUUUUCGAUUUUAGCAAAAGUUUAUCGUUGCUUACAUUAAAUUACCUAUAACAGUAGCUGCGCCCAUCUUCAUUAUCGUAGGACAUCUUUUUAUCAUUUCUGGUCUUGAUUUGUGUGUUUUAAUCGAU